rnacentral:tRNA from 1 species
GCGGGUGUCGUCCAGCGGCAGGAUGGCGGUUUCCCAUACCGUCGACACGGGUUCGAAUCCCGUCGCCCGCUUCA